rfam:Naegleria gruberi genomic scaffold NAEGRscaffold_20, whole genome shotgun sequence.
GCCGACAUAGCUCAGUUGGGAGAGCGUAAGACUGAAGAUCUUAAGGUCCCUGGUUCGAUCCCUGGUGUCGGCA